rnacentral:lncRNA from 1 species
GUAUGAAAAUGAAAAAUUUAGGCAAUCCAAUCAUUGGAAACCAUUGAAUAAUUUAUAUUUUUAUUUCUAUUUUUUUUACCCUCACCAAAUCCUUGAUACCAAAUCCUUGAUACAAACAAAGUCUUAAAAAUUGGGGGUUAUGUUGUGCUUAAAAGAUCAACUUGCUCAUUCUUGAUCUCUUCCAAGGAGAUCUGGGAGGCCAUGAUGGCACAACCAAAAGGAAGAAAGAAAGAGAGCACUCUCUCUCUCUCAAUCUCUCUCCCUAUCUCACUCCUACUUUUUUUCUCUCUCUCUCUAGUCCCUGCCUUUGGGCAUGCAAGAACAGAGUCUUUAAAAGGGAGGGGAAAGACAAGUGGGUGGUAUUUCAAGAAUUCUAUAACUAAUUUUUCAAGAGAAUUGCGCGGCAACGUUAACGAACUGGUCUGCGGGCAACCUGUGAUCGCCUGUUUCUUAGCAGGUGGCCAGUGAGUGUUAGCUAUAGGCUUUGAGAUCCUCCAAAAACUUUGGUUAAUAUAUGGUGUUUAGAGUCUCA